GACGAACGCUGGCGGCGCGCUUAACACAUGCAAGUCGAACGGUGAACGGGGCUUCGGCCCCGGGAUCAGUGGCGAACGGGUGCGUAACACGUGGGCAACCUUCCCCAGACCCUGGGAUAACCCCGGGAAACCGGAGCUAAUCACGGAUACUACGACCGAACCGCCUGGCUCGGCCGGGAAAGGUCCGCCGGUGUGGGAUGGGCCCGCGGCCUACCAGCUUGUUGGUGGGGUCGCGGCCCACCAAGGCGACGACGGGUAGCUGGUCUGAGAGGACGACCAGCCACACUGGGACUGAGAUACGGCCCAGACUCCUACGGGAGGCAGCAGUGGGGAACCUUGCACAAUGGGCGAAAGCCUGAUGCAGCGACGCCGCGUGAGGGAUGAAGGCCCUCGGGUUGUAAACCUCUUUCGGCAGGGACGAAGCGAUCGUGACGGUACCUGCAGAAGAAGCCUCGGCUAACUACGUGCCAGCAGCCGCCGCGGUAA
rnacentral:rRNA from 1 species